rnacentral:tRNA from 1 species
UGCAGUGUGGCUCAGUGGUAGAGCACUUACCUGGCAUGUAUGAGGCACUGGGUUCGACCCUCAGCACCACAU